rnacentral:rRNA from 1 species
GUGGGGAAUAUUGGACAAUGGGCGAAAGCCUGAUCCAGCCAUGCCGCGUGUGUGAAGAAGGUCUUCGGAUUGUAAAGCACUUUAAGUUGGGAGGAAGGGCAGUAAGUUAAUACCUUGCUGUUUUGACGUUACCGACAGAAUAAGCACCGGCUAACUUCGUGCCAGCAGCCGCGGUAAUACGAAGGGUGCAAGCGUUAAUCGGAAUUACUGGGCGUAAAGCGCGCGUAGGUGGUUUGGUAAGUUGGAGGUGAAAUCCCCGGGCUCAACCUGGGAACAGCCUACAAAACUGCAUCACUAGAGUACGGAAGAGGGUAGUUGAAUUUCCUGUGUAGCGUUAAAAUGCGUAGAUAUAGGAUGGAACUCCAGUGGCGAAGGCGACUACCUGGACUGAUACUGACACUGAGGUGCGAAAGCGUGGGGAGCAAACAGGAUUAGAUACCCGGGUAGUCC